rnacentral:lncRNA from 1 species
AAACACAAAUACAACUAACUUUAAAACCAAAUCAAAAGAAAAAAACAAAAACAAUAAACGUAAAUAAUGACAACAUAGCUAAACAAUCAAACAAAAUUGGAACGCCCGCCACGGAGACUAUGUUGAACGGAAACAAAUCGGAAUAAGCCGUACGCAUAGUGAUCGGAAACAAUUCCGUUCCCCACCACUUGGAGGAUCCGUUUUUGACCGACAAUCUAAACGGAUCUGUUUCCGGGGACAGAUGAAGACUGUGUUGUUUUCACUAUGUUUUCGCUCAUUUUCGUCGUCUGUACUUCAGAAAGUAAACAAAAAGUGGCUUAAUUAAUUAGUGUGAAAAAAGUAAGAGCAUGAAGAGAUUUCUUAACAACCCUUGAAGAGGCACUUAUAAAGAAGAAGAAGUUGCGUAUAAGAGGAUUGACAAAUCGAAGUUAGACGACAUUGCUCAGGGAAGGGAAGAGUACACCAUAAAAAAUCUGAACCAUCCUAACGUUCUCAAGCUACUUGAUGUUCAGAAUGACGAUGAUUUCAAGUAUCUGAUUUUGGAUGCGACCACUGAAAUAGAAAAUUCGAAAAGAAAGAUUGUCCCUGUCCUUUCCCCUGUAUGCCAUCCUGCCCCAUCCUGAUUGUCUCAGACUCAGACAGGGUCAUUUUUAGUUUUCCAUUCUCCAAGCAGUCAGAAUAUAUAUGUUGUACAUGUAAUACGAGUGUGGGAUUGCAAAUCAAGUUAAAACAGACUUUAGAGUUUCUCUCUUUCAGCAUUUAUUUUUUCGUGUUGUGUUAACCUUUUGCUUUCAACAAUUCAGAUAGAAAGCCGAGAGCUGUUUUCAAGUGUUCAUCGAUUUCUCAACUGGCCUCUCAAUUUAAAUCGUAAACAAAUUUUUCUCUGUUCCUCAGAAACUACAUAGAUCCCAUUGCAUUCGAUGGAAAGUUUUGUUCUUCUUUAACUGAAGCUGACAAAAUGAAACGAACUUAACUGGCGCUGUCCUGCAAGACGAUUCCACGUCGAAAAGUUCGUGAAGAAACAUUCCAAAUUGAAGUAAAACGAUACUCUAAAAAGGCGAUUACCUCGCCUUUUUGGGGUAUCAUUUUGUGUACAACAUCUUGUGUUUAAACGUGAAGGAAACGCUACUAUGAGGUGUUUUCUAUCACGUCUAUACCAGUUGCGUCACCCGACCUUUUUCAGAUGCCAUCAGUGCUCAUCUUAAAUUUUGCUCAGGUAACAACCAAACACGAUGACUUGGCUGUGACAAUGUCAGCAGUAUUUUAGGCAAAAAACUUCUACACCAGUCAAAACACAGAAAAUAGAGGAGGUAAUGCUGUACACUGCCUUUCAACCCGCUGGACGUCUAGUAGAAUUUGUCCAUUUCUCUCGGUCGACUGUAAAACAACAAGGGCGAUAGAUCUCAAAUAAGGGUUCCAGUUUUGUUUUUUCCGGUUUUAUCAUUUCCAUUCACGUGGGGAAUGGCCAAACCUGUUCCUUCGGUUCGGGCGUAAUUUUUACAGUUAUUUAAAGAUCUGUCUUUAAAAACGUCAUUAACUCCAAGGAUAAUUUAUCUCUCCCUUCCCAAUAAGGAAUGCAUUGUCCAAUUUCUUUUGCAGCCUUCCCGUGAAAAGAAAGUGCAUACCAACUUAUCUAUUUUAACAAGUUUGUCUAAUUAAUCAAAGUUUAAGCUAUCAAAAACAGCACGCUGACUCAAACAAAGUUAAGGAGAUUUAUCCGGGUUCUUUCAAGUGCUUGCUGGACGGCCCGAGUUGAAGUACCUAAAUCGCCUCUGCCUCCUUCGCUUAACGUGACCAACUGCAACAAAGAAAUCUUUUGUGUCCAGUGUUUGCGAUAUUGUAUCUACUAGACGUCCGAGAACGGCCAGACUUGGAAAUCUGUCAAAUUGAAAUCCAUGGAGAAAAAUUAAAGACCUUAAAUAACCAAAAACAGUUGCUGAAUCUUGGCGACGUAUACCGGAAUUGGCAUCCAAGGCCCAUUCAAGUAACCUGAUAAGAAAACAAAUGGCCAUCAUUAACCUUAACGCAUAAAGAAGCAUUUCUUUUUCACUAGACAAAUCUGUCGAUAAGUAGCGCUCCAAGGCGAAAUCCCAUUCUUCGUCACCGCUGUUGGCGAUUGCAGCGCAGGCAACGGCUCGUUUGUAAUUCGGCUUGACCCAACUGUGUACAAGAGAUUGACAGUUAAAGGAUAAAAAAAAGCUUUCAAGUGGGUGCAGAGGGCAAUUCAAGUUCGAUUCCAUCUUCCGUGCCCAGUAUCCAGGCCUGGAAAGUUGUAUUGAAAUCGGUGGUGUAUGUGAGGGGAAUCCACCACAGAGGGAACUCUGACGAAUUGCGAGACGCAAUCCUAAAUUUGCUAGUUACCUGGGUCACGAUAGCCGUUUGCAAGUCGUAGUUUCUCCUAACGGUAACGAUUGGAUAACCAGUUUGAAGAGACCAGCUAGUCAUUAUCGUUCUGAUAUCUGCUGGAAGGUCAAGUGCAUCGAUGGACUGGUUGCUCAUCGCCUUCCACAGGUAGGAAGUGAGACCUUGUUGGAAUUUCUUGUGACCCAGAAAACCAGCAAACAUUCGAAUCACAGCAGGACCUGAUAUAAAACGCGUAGGGGAUUGAAUCAAAGAGUCCGUUAAUUUCGUUUCUCUUUUUUACUGGCAUUGACAUGGCAUGCGACGACAAGAGAGAGUCUACUGCAAAAACUUUUUGCGUUUCCUGGACGGUGAACUGUUGACCCAUUUGCAGACUUGGUUCCACCUGACAUGAAAUUUUUAUGUCAGCUCAGAUCAAAUCAAUAGCAACUGAGACAUCACCUACCACAUCUAAUCCGACGUACAUCAAAUAGUUGGCAAAACCUUCCUUCAACCAAAGAUCGCUCCAAAAUUCCAUGGCAAUUCUUUCUAGCUCCGGAGGAAAACUGCGUUUGGAAAUAAUGUGUUUGCUACUUUGCAUAGCGAGACGGACAUAAAAUGAAAAUAAAAAACCCUGAAACACGGAUGACUACAUUUUGUCUACACAAAAGUGUGCCAUGCAAAAAUAGACACCCAAGGCUGACCCCAAGGAAACCGGUUUAAAAAAAGAUACUGACCUGUAGGUGAUAAGACCCCAGUUCUCCAUGGCACUAACGGCAAAAUCAGGAAUGGCGAACAUAUCAAUUUUGGCUGAAGGCAUAGUCCAAGUGCGAAAUGUCGUACGAUCUUGCAGGUCGAUUUCAGGCGAAUCUAAACCUUCAAACUCUGAGACGAUGAAGGCCAAAAUGUAGGUGGACAUGGGCAGAGUUUUCUGGAAUUCGUCCCACACGUAAUCCGAGCGAAAUCCCGAAGUUACCUGGAGACCUUCGUCCUUGGCGAUUCGAAUUUCGGCCAUGUGAAGCACAAUCAUCGUCGUUGGUUCCAUGCAUUCUAAAAGGAUGUCCACUUGUCCAUCGAUAGUGAAAUUACCUUCUUCGAUAAAUGGCAACAACCGCAGUUUGUAAUGUCGUGGUAAUACCCAAUGAGGUAGUCGCCAAUCCGUGUACUUGGGUAUCGAUCGUGGCUGUUUCGCUGUUCCUUGGAUCACCACGAGGGUGAAUAUCAACAACACUAAACGAAACAACAUGAUGAACUACCCACGGUUGUUUGGAAGAAAAAGGGGGGAAUUAGUGGGAACUGGACUAUGUCACGGCUGACUCCCUCAAAACACGAGGAUGUUGUGGCGCUUGACUUUUUCUGUCAGUGUGAAUGACAGACCCCACAAGUGUUUAUACGCACCUUACGGCGUACUCUCUCUUUCUCUAGUUUUCUCUCACCUGUUUGGGGGUCUCCUCAUACCUUAGCUGGUACCUUCUGGCCUAAGGCCAUUUCUCCACCCACUUUCCCGUGCGCGGAACGUCACAUAAGGAAGUGAAAGUGGACGCGUUGCAUCACACAAUCAAUUAAAACGAGACGAACCAUAGCAUACUGCAACUUAUUCAUUUACUCGCUUACAUAAUUUGGUAUAGGCGCACAUAGAAUACGUGAUGUGUGCAACAAGAUUCGGAGAAUAUCAACUUUGGAAUAGGUAAACCAAAAAAAGCAAUUUUGCACUUUGCAAUGGGACAACGAGUAAAAUGUAGAAAAUGUAGAAAACGUAUCAGAAAAUAUAAAAUGGAAGAAAGCUUAUUGGAAUGUUCACUUUUUUUCCCCUUUUUAGAUGAUUCCAGUGUAUUUGCGAGGUUGGCAAACUUCGUCCAUGGAGCGGAUGAUGACCUCCUUUGGAAUCGACGACUGGCACAUGUUCACCAACACGAACAGGUGGCGAUAUGCAUACUCAUUCUCAAGGAUGAAUAAUAUGGAAAAUGUAAAUUUGUGGCUUACACGAAUUGUGUGGUCGUAAAAUCAAAAAUUCUACUUACCUUAGGCAGGUGGAAACAACGCUGAGAGAAUGCAUUGACAAGUUCUUCGUAGCAAGAAAAGUUGGUUAGCUUCAGUCGACCGGUAAGGAUGAACUCUGUUUUAGCUUCAUCCUCGGUGGCCUUCAAAACGAUUUUCCUUAGGGUGUCUUUCAAAUGUUGGCGUUUCUGUGGAAACAAGAAAAUAUCGUCUUUACUUAA